rnacentral:rRNA from 1 species
UGAGGAAUAUUGCGCAAUGGGGGAAACCCUGACGCAGCGACGCCGCGUGAGUGAUGAAGGCCUUCGGGUUGUAAAGCUCUGUCAGAGGGAAAGAAAGGGGAUAUGGCUAAUAUCCAUGUCCAUUGACGGUACCCUCAGAGGAAGCACCGGCUAACUCCGUGCCAGCAGCCGCGGUAAUACGGAGGGUGCUAGUGUUAUUCGGAAUCACUGGGCGUAAAGAGCACGUAGGCGGAUAGGUAAGUCAGAUGUGAAAUCCCGGGGCUCAACUUCGGAACUGCAUUUGAUACUGCCUGUCUUGAGUGUGGUAGAGGUGGAUGGAAUUCCCGGUGUAGAGGUGAAAUUCGUAGAUAUCGGGAGGAACACCAGAGGCGAAGGCGAUCCACUGGGCCACUACUGACGCUGAGGUGCGAAAGCGUGGGGAGCAAACA